GGGGCAAUAGCUCAGUUGGGAGAGCGCGUGCUUCGCAUGUACGAGGUCGCCGGUUCGAUUCCGGUUUGCUCCACCA
rnacentral:tRNA from 1 species